GAGCUGUUAGCGCAGUUGGGAGCGUGCCCGUGUAAUGUCCAUAAACGGCUCUCAUAUUGUGAGGGAGGCCUCGGUUCGAACCCGGGACAGGUUA